rnacentral:rRNA from 1 species
UACGUAGGGUGCAAGCGUUAAUCGGAAUUACUGGGCGUAAAGCGUGCGCAGGCGGUUGUGCAAGACAGAUGUGAAAUCCCCGGGCUUAACCUGGGAACUGCAUUUGUGACUGCACGGCUAGAGUGCGGCAGAGGGGGAUGGAAUUCCGCGUGUAGCAGUGAAAUGCGUAGAUAUCGGGAGGAACACCGGUGGCGAAGGCGGCGACCUGGGUAGAUACUGACGCUGAGGUGCGAAAGCGUGGGGAGCAAACAGG